CCUACGGGAGGCAGCAGUGGGGGAUAUUGCACAAUGGGGGGAACCCUGAUGCAGCGACGCCGCGUGGGUGAAGGAGCGUUUCGGCGCGUAAAGCCCUAUCGGCAGGGAAGAAGAAGGACGGUACCUGACUAAGAAGCCCCGGCUAACUACGUGCCAGCAGCCGCGGUAAUACGUAGGGGGCAAGCGUUAUCCGGAUUUACUGGGUGUAAGGGGGGCGCAGACGGCAGCGCAAGCCAGGAGUGAAAGCCCGGGGCCCAACCCCGGGACUGCUCUUGGAACUGCGCGGCUGGAGUGCAGGAGGGGCAGGCGGAAUUCCUGGUGUAGCGGUGAAAUGCGUAGAUAUCAGGAGGAACACCGGUGGCGAAGGCGGCCUGCUGGACUGCGACUGACGUUGAGGCCCGAAAGCGUGGGGAGCAAACAGGAUUAGAUACCCUUGUAGUC
rnacentral:rRNA from 1 species